CCCAGAGCGAUUCUAAUGGGUUCGUCAGGGGAUCGGGAAAGAAAACGUAGCACUUGGGGACCACGCACAGAAGCUGCUGCGGCACCAUGGGGGUCAUUGAUACCCCAGUACAUGAAAAUGAAGCAUAAUCACAAUAAUAAUAAUAAUAAUGGUAAUAAUAAUAAUAAUAAUAAUAAUAAUAAUAAUAAUAAUAAUAAUGAGAAGAAGAAGAAGAAGAAGAAUACAACACACAGAUGCUUCUGAGUUUUAUUUUAAUUUAUUUGAAAUUACACUCACGAUACAACUGAGGCAAUCUGGAAGGCAAAAUAAAAGUCAACAACGGGGUUGAAUCAGCCUUUCAAGACAAACGAAUCUCAGUAGAUAUGUCAAGAACAGGUUUACAUGAAAAAAAAAGAAGGUUUACAUUAAAAAAUAUCAACAAACUGUCUGUGUUUCAGGCACUCGGUGCUGUACAGCGCCUCUGGUGGCUGUGAAUACAUGAUAUAAAUCUCACCGUAGGAUGCGUGCAUUGAAAGAAUCAGCCUUUUGUUACAAACGAAUCUCAGUAAUCUCCUUUGUAACACUCUGUGACCAGCCGCAGCUGGCCGAUUUUCACCACAUCCUCUCCCACCAGUUUGUCGCCCUCUGCCUCUUUUCUGAGACAGCUGUCGGUGAGAGACUCGGGCGAAACGUCCUCUUUGAAAGCGUACGCAUCCCCCAGGAUGGUGUUUCCGGACGCACUCUUUCUCGAGCCUGUUUUACCGAAAGAAUCAGCCUUUUGUUACAAACGAAUCUCAGUAAUCUCCUUUGUAACACUCUGUGACCAGCCGCAGCUGGCCGAUUUUCACCACAUCCUCUCCCACCAGUUUGUCGCCCUCUGCCUCUUUUCUGAGACAGCUGUCGGUGAGAGACUCGGGCGAAACGUCCUCUUUGAAAGCGUACGCAUCCCCCAGGAUGGUGUUUCCGGACGCACUCUUUCUCGAGCCUGUUUUACCGACCAGAAGGAGUCUCAGUUCUUCACGGGUCGCAGAGCCUGCGGGGUUGGGGAAACGAUGGUUACAUUUGAAUCAUUCUAGAAAAAAACAAAACAAAACAUGAAACACUACGUUACACUAGGCUAUUCUUUUGUUAUCUUUGUAUCGAUGUUGACAGCAAGCAGUUUGUCUACAUAAAGCGAGUACCACAAGCAGCACACAACCCUGGGAUUGCACUUUACCUUUGUAUCGAUGAUGACAGCGAGCAGUUUGCCCACGUAACGCGAGUAGCACAAGCAGCACACGUCCCUGAAUCCGGCCUUUGGUCGCCAACAUUUUCAGUAAGCUAAGAAAAGGAGAAAGGAAAAAGAGGUGAAAUUAAGGCACAUUCAGGGAAAGUCUUUCAGAUCAGAUUACCAAGUUAAACCACACUGAAAAUACGCGUUGAAUAAACCAUGACCCCAAACUGGUCGGUUGUCCCACGUGUUUCCCCGUAGCUACUCCGGGCGCGCACACAAUGAGCCCUGGUUUCGCGACGCAGGCGUAGCAACAACCUCCUUCUCCUCCUCACUGCCUCGUGUGUGUGUGUGUGUGUGUGUGUGUGUGUGUCUGUGUGUGUGUGUGUGUGUGUGUGUGUGUAGGAGGUACUGGGUUCCUCAAAAAUGGUGGUGUUCGCGUAACCCGCCCUCCGCAGACCUAAGCGUACGCUACCGAGGCACUUGAGAACGAUGUAGAGGGAGCAAGGAUGAGGAGGAGGCAAGGAGUGUCUGAAGUCCAAACGGAGGGCGGUGUUCGCGUAGUAGGCAGGCCACAGAGCUGCUCUUUCACUAGCGAGGCGCUUGAGAAAGAUGGAGAGGGAGUAAGGAGUACGAGGAGAAACGGAGAGCCCGAGGUCCAACUAGAGGGCGGUGUUCGCGAAACCGGCCAUCCGCAGGCCUAAGCGUACGCUCGCGAGGAGCAUAAAUGGAGGGCCAUGUUCACGUAAUGGGUAGGCCAAACGGCUGCUCUUUCACUAGCGAGGCACUUGAGAACAAUGAGAGGGAGCAAGGAGGAGGAGGAGACACGGAGAGCCCGAGGUCCAACUGGAGGGCGGUGUUCACGUAAUAGGCAGGCAAAACAGCUUCGCUAUCACUAGCGAGGCACUUGAGAACGAUGUAGAGGGAGCAAGGAGGACGAGGAGCAACGGAGAUCCCGAGGUCCUCACCGAAGAGGGUGUUCGC
ensembl:lncRNA